UGUUUUCUUAAAAGAAAGAAAAAUGCAAGUAACAAAAUUAACUAGCUCGUCAUGAAUGGGGUCAUGUGAGGCUUUUAACAGAUGAAGUGUUGCCUUCAUUUCAGACCAAGCUCAAAGAACAGGUAUGGAAGUUUCUCUGUUGAGAAACCCUGAUGGAUGGCCAGUGGAUUUCUCCUGAAAUGCAGAAGCUGAAGCUGCUUCAUCAUAACUUGACCAGUUUUCCCUGCCUGUCCUGUUGUGCCAGCCAAGAGAGGGAGUCAGAGACCCAACAGGGCCAUCAUUGUUGUCUCAGGCAUGGAGAACAGAGAUACAUCUGGGAGGAGCAGACAGAUGAACUAUUGCUCUGGUACUUGGAGCUGAACACAUCCUAGUCCCUAGAGGCUUCGUUGUGGUUUCUGGUGCUGCACAUUCUCACUCUUCUACCUCUGGAUGCUGCGUUGUUUGAGAAUACCCUUCUUAGAAGG